rnacentral:rRNA from 1 species
AGCGAACGCUGGCGGCAGGCCUAACACAUGCAAGUCGAACGAACCUUUCGGGGUUAGUGGCGGACGGGUGAGUAACACGUGGGAACGUGCCUUUAGGUUCGGAAUAACUCAGGGAAACUUGUGCUAAUACCGAAUGUGCCCUUCGGGGGAAAGAUUAAUCGCCUUUAGAGCGGCCCGCGUCUGAUUAGCUAGUUGGUUGAGGUAAUGGCUCACCAAGGCGACGAUCAGUAGCUGGUCUGAGAGGAUGAUCAGCCACAUUGGGACUGAGACACGACCCAAACUCCUACGGGAAGCAGCAGUGGGGAAUCUUGCGCAAUGGGCGAAAGCCUGACGCAGCCAUGCCGCGUGAAUGAUGAAGGUCUUAGGAUUGUAAAAUUCUUUCACCGGGGACGAUAAUGACGGUACCCGGAGAAGAAGCCCCGGCUAACUUCGUG